rnacentral:rRNA from 1 species
AGUCACGCCCUAAACGAUGUCAACUAGGUGUGGGUGGUAAAGCCAUUUAGUACCGUAGCCAACGCGUGAAGUGACCGCCUGGGGAGUACGGCCGCAAGGUUAAAACUCAAAGGAAUUGACGGGGACCCGCACAAGCGGUGGAUGAUGUGGAUUAAUUCGAUGCAACGCGAAAAACCUUACCUACCCUUGACAUGUCCAGGAGCCUGAAGAGAUUUAGGUGUGCCCGAAAGGGAGCUGGAACGCAGGUGCUGCAUGGCUGUCGUCAGCUCGUGUCGUGAGAUGUUGGGUUAAGUCCCGCAACGAGCGCAACCCUUGUCGUUAAUUGCCAUCAUUCAGUUGGGCACUUUAACGAGACUGCCGGUGACAAACCGGAGGAAGGUGGGGAUGACGUCAAGUCCUCAUGGCCCUUAUGGGUAGGGCUUCACACGUCAUACAAUGGUCGGUACAGAGGGUUGCCAAGCCGCGAGGUGGAGCCAAUCCCAGAAAGCCGAUCGUAGUCCGGAUCGUAGGCUGCAACUCGCCUGCGUGAAGUCGGAAUCGCUAGUAAUCGCGGAUCAGCAUGUCGCGGUGAAUACGUUCCCGGGUCUUGUACACACCGCCCGUCACACCAUGGGAGCGGGUUCCGCCAGAAGUAGGUAGCCUAACCGCAAGGAGGGCGCUUACCACGGCGGGGUUCGUGACUGGGGUGAAGUCGUAACAAGGUAGCC